CAUUUUCUUUUCUAAUGUAACUUGAAACUGUUUAUUUUUAUUGUGAUUCUAAUUAUUAAUUUAAUCUAUCAAAGUAAUUAAUCAACCUCUGGAUUGUGAAGAUAAUUAAGUUUGUAAAAUGUUGAUUAAAAUGAUCAAUUUACUGUUGAAUUGAUUAGAUUGAUUGUUUGUUUGGAUUUUUUUUUGCUCUUUUGUUGGAUUAACAAGGAAACCGGUUAAAUCAUAUGGACAUUGUUUUUGUUUAUUCUUAAUUGUGAUUUGGGUUAAUUGCUGUUACUUUCAUCUUAAUUACCUGUUGUGCAUUUUUAUUGGAAUCAGAUGAUUUUGUGUCUUAUUACCUGUGAUUAAUUUUCGGUUGUUAACAGAAUUGGUAAAUUACCUAUAGUGAUAAUCAAAUUGACGGUAGAUUGUGAUGGUUAAUUUUUUAUUGGUUUAACUGCGAUUAAAUUAACCAUAAAUUGUGAAGUAAACAAUUAUAAAUCUCAAAUCUUACCAAGAUGAAUUGUUAUAGUAACGGUUAAUAUAAAAGAUCAAUAAACUCGGAGACAAUUAAAGAUGGAUCAUAACCACGAGGUAAAAAGAUGAUCACUUGGAUUUAUUAUGAGGCAGAUUCGUGUGGGUUGAAAAAUUUUUCAAUUGAUUUAAACACAAUUAAAUAUAUUCGGAUUGUGAAGUAAAAAAAAAGACAUUUACUCUCUCAAUGAACAAUCAAAAUUAAUUGUGAUUAAAUUUGACAGAUGAGGAAAGUAUCGCCAUCUGUUAACAAUAAUUGUAAAAGAAAACUCGUUACCAUGGAAACUGGUGGAUAAACAGACUAAUGGAAAAAGAUUCAAUUUUUUUGACAACUUUUGGUUCCUUUGAUCAAUGUUAAUUUGAAGUUUUUCUAUGGAUUUGAGUUUUGUUAAUGUUAAUCAACUAUCAGAAAGAAAUUGAGAGUCAGGAUUAUUUGGCCGUUGCCUCAAUUGAAAGUGUUCUUAAAAAGUGAACCCCAACUAAUGGGAUCAUCUAUGAAAAGAUCUGGACACUGAUCGAUACUCAAAUUUCUUGGUGAUUGAAAACGUAAAUCAUUUCUCUACCAUAGAAUAUUCAACUUAUGGUCCAAGAUUUCUAUUUGAUUUGGUCUUAAAAGUCCAAAACUAAGCUAAAACUAAAAGAGCUUUGGAAACCGAUUAAUAACAAUCAAAAACGAACAAUCGAAUGUUAUUAACAAGAACUUCGUUGAUCCGUUUCAAUCGAAAGUCAAUUUAUUAAUAGAUGCGAAUUUAAGUGUCUUUCUUUAUCAGAAUUUAACAGGAAUUAUUUACAAAUGGUUAAUUUAUGGAGCUAAAACUCUUGAUUGGACUCGCCAGGGAGGGAAGGAAAAUACUAUGGAAUUUUUCUUAUUCUUGUAAUGGUUGCCAAGAAUUCGGUGUUGGAAUCAGUUA